CUAAGGUGACUUCCGGUGACAAACCGGAGGAAGGUGGGGAUGACGUCAAAUCAUCAUGCCCCUUAUGACCUGGGCUACACACGUGCUACAAUGGACGGUACAAAGAGCUGCAAGACCGCGAGGUGGAGCUAAUCUCAUAAAACCGUUCUCAGUUCGGAUUGUAGGCUGCAACUCGCCUACAUGAAGCUGGAAUCGCUAGUAAUCGCGGAUCAGCAUGCCGCGGUGAAUACGUUCCCGGGCCUUGUACACACCGCCCGUCACACCACGAGAGUUUUAACACCCGAAGUCGGUGGGGUAACCUUUUUGGAGCCAGCCGCCUAAGGUGGACAGAUGUGUUCC
rnacentral:rRNA from 1 species